ACUUAAGCAUAUCAAUAAGCGGAGGAAAAGAAAACAAUAGUGAUGCCUCUAGUAACGGCGAGUGAAGCAGGCAAAGCCCAACUUUAAAAUCUGGCGCUUUCAGCGUCCGAGUUGUAGUCUCGAGAAGCAUGGCUCGUGUCGGUCCGCGUCAAACUGGUUCGGAUGCCAGGUCAUAGAGGGUGACAAUCCCGUUGGCAACGCGGCCUCCCGAUGCAUCAGCAGUCUGCUCUCCAAGAGUCGAGUUGUUUGGGAAUGCAGCUCUAAUUAGGUGGUAAAUUCCAUCCAAGGCUAAAUAUCGGCGGGAGACCGAUAGCGAACAAGUACCGUGAGGGAAAGAUGAAAAGCACUUUGGAAAGAGAAUGAAAGAGUAUGUGAAAUUGCUGGAAGGGAAACGCUUGAAGUCAGAUACGCGCGGGGGUAUUCAGCCUGGUUCGCCGGGUGCAUUUGCCCUCAUUGCGCGCCAGCAUCGGUUCGUGGGGCCGCAGCAGCGCGGUGGGAAUGUGGCCGUCUCCGGGCGGUGUUAAGCCCGCCGUUGUGGUCGGACCCGUGGACCGAGGAUCGCAGUGCGCCACAAGGCAGCUCUCGAGGGAGUAGAGCACUUAGGAUGCUGGCGGAAUGGCUUUAAACGACCCGUCUUGAAACACGGACCAAGGAGUCUAACAUGCUCGCGAGUGUUUGGGUGUCAAACCCGAGCGCGUAAUGAAAGUGAAUGGAGGUCGGAUGCGCAAGCUGCACGAUCGACCGAAUCGGAUUCUUUGAUGAUGGUUUUGAGUAAGAGCGCGUAUGUUGGGACCCGAAAGAUGUGUGAGCUAUGACUGGAUAGGGCGAAGCCAGAGGAAACUCUGGUGGAGGCUCGUAGCGGUUCUGACGUGCAAAUCGAUCGUCAAAUCUGGUUAUAGGGGCGAAAGACUAAUCGAACCAUCUAGUAGCUGGUUCCUGCCGAAGUUUCCCUCAGGAUAGCAGAAGCUCAUAUCAGUUCUAUGAGGUAAAGCGAAUGAUUAGCGUACGCGGGGGCGAAAUGCCCUCGCACGAUUCUCAAACUUUAAAUGUGUAGGAAGCCCUUGUCGCUUAAUUGGACGAUGGGCAUACGAAUGAGAGCUUCUAGUGGGCCACUUUUGGUAAGCAGAACUGGCGAUGCGGGAUGAACCGAACGCGAGGUUAAGGCGCCGGAAUACACGCUCAUCAGACACCACAAAAGGUGUGAAUCGCUCUAGACAGUCGGACGGUGGCCAUGGAAGUCGGAAUCCGCUAAGGAGUGUGUAACAACUCACCGAUCGAAGCGAUUUGCCCUGAAAAUGGAUGGCGCUUAAGCGUGUUGCCCAUACCUCGCCGUCCGCUUUGUUGGAUACAAGCAGACGAGUAGGCAGGCGUGGAGGUCCCGUGACGAAGCCCAGGGCGUGAGCUCGGGUCGAACGGCCUCUAGUGCAGAUCU
rnacentral:rRNA from 1 species